rnacentral:ncRNA from 1 species
CCAAGGCGAGGUGGAUGAGCCUUGUGAGACGCCUUGAAGCGCAAUUCCCAUAGUCGAGCGGCGGGUAGAAUCCUUUGCAGACGACUUAAAUACGCGACGGGGUAUUGUAAGUGGCAGAGUGGCCUUGCUGCCACGAUCCACUGAGAUUCAGCCCUUGUCGCUUCGAUUCGU